rnacentral:rRNA from 1 species
UGGAUCCAGACUUUGAUCAUGGCUCAGGAUGAACGCCAGCUACAGGCUUAACACAUGCAAGUCGAGGGGAAACGACAUCGAAAGCUUGCUUUUGAUGGGCGUCGACCGGCGCACGGGUGAGUAACGCGUAUCCAACCUGCCCACCACUUGGGGAUAACCUUGCGAAAGUAAGACUAAUACCCAAUGACGUCUCUAGAAGACAUCUGAAAGAGAUUAAAGAUUUAUCGGUGAUGGAUGGGGAUGCGUCUGAUUAGCUUGUUGGCGGGGUAACGGCCCACCAAGGCUACGAUCAGUAGGGGUUCUGAGAGGAAGGUCCCCCACAUUGGAACUGAGACACGGUCCAAACUCCUACGGGAGGCAGCAGUGAGGAAUAUUGGUCAAUGGGCGAGAGCCUGAACCAGCCAAGUAGCGUGCAGGAUGACGGCCCUAUGGGUUGUAAACUGCUUUUAUAAGGGAAUAAAGUGAGUCUCGUGAGACUUUUUGCAUGUACCUUAUGAAUAAGGACCGGCUAAUUCCGUGCCAGCAGCCGC